rnacentral:rRNA from 1 species
GGUGAACGCUGGCGGCGUGCUUAACACAUGCAAGUGGAGCGACGAACCGGGCUUCGGCCCGGGGCAAAGCCGCGAACGGGUGAGUAUCACGUGGGUAACCUGCCCCGAUGACCGGGACAACCCGAGGAAACUCGGGCUAAUACCGGAUGUGCUCUCAAUCCACCAGGGUGUAGAACAAAGGAAGCUUCGGCCUCCGCAUUGGGAUGGGCGCGCGGCCCAUUAGCUUGUUGGUGAGGUAAAGGCUCACCAAGGCGACGAUGGGUAGCUGGUCUGAGAGGACGAUCAGCCACACUGGGACUGAGACACGGCCCAGACUCCUACGGGAGGCAGCAGUGGGGAAUCUUGCGCAAUGCGCGAAAGCGUGACGCAGCAACGCCGCGUGAGGGAAGAAGGCCUUCGGGUUGUAAACCUCUUUCAGGAGGGACGAAGGUUCAGGCGCGAAUAGCGUCCUGGACUGACGGUACCUCCAGAAGAAGCCCCGGCUAACUACGUGCCAGCAGCCGCAGUAAUAC